GGGUGGCAUCCAUUGAGCAUGUGCAGUAGCAUGCAACAGCUGCUCCACACGUCCGCCUUGGCACACAGUCGAUCCCCCUGUGCCACCUCGGGGGCCAUGUGGGUCUCUGUGCCGGGGAAGGCAGCUCCUACAUCGACACACGGCUCUGCUGAUUGGUUGACCAUGUGUGUGAGUUACGAGCUCUUACACCUCAGUCACCCCGGCCCAUUGCCCCCCUCAGCACACCCACCACCCACACACAGCAGCUUCCAAACACUCCGGAUGGACUGUGUGGAUGCCCCCUGUGACAUUUGGAUAUUUGCUGUCCUGAGCUGUAUGCAACAUUCCUGAGACGGGAUUGCCCACACACGGCUCUCAACAUGGCUGAGCUGGCUAGCAGCUAACAGCGCUAACACUGCCAACAAUGGCAACAGUGCUAACUGUGUUAACAUGGGGGGGACACCUCCAAGACAACACCAUCUUGCCACCAUGGGUCAUGACAAUAUUUUGAGCGUUAACUGCUGUACACAUCUCAUGAAUACAAACAUUUAAUGGGUGCUACAAAUAUAUUUUGAAUUAACACAAAUUUUACACCACAAUCCUGAUGAAGAGAGAGCUGAGCCAGAAGGCAACACUUUCAAUUUACUGGCCCAUAAGUGUCCCAACCCUCACCUAUGGUCAUGAGCUCUGGGUAGUGAUCAAAAGAACAAGGUCGCGGACACAAGUGGCCAAGUUGGGUUUCUGCAGAAGGGUGUCUGGGCUCAAGGACAUGGGACAUCCGGAGGGAGCUUGGAGUAGUGCUGCUGCUCCUUAUCAUUGAAAGGGGUCAGUUGAGGUGGUUCGGACCAACACAUUUUCACUCUGACCUCGUCAAAUAUCAACGUUUGGUCAUGGACUUUCCAUGUCCACAUACGUCAUCCAAGGUACCCUGGGUGUGUUGGUUGUUGAUGUUCUCGGACGCCGUGUCAACUUCUGCCUGUAGCAUGCAUCAUCUUCUUUCAAAAUACACUUCUGUUUUCAGAGGACAUUAAACGUUUACAUACAGUCUCUUUCAAAAUAAAAGCACUACGU